AACGAACGCUGGCGGCAGGCUUAACACAUGCAAGUCGAACACCCCGCAAGGGGAGUGGCAGACGGGUGAGUAACGCGUGGGAACGUACCUUUCAGUUCGGAAUAACUCAGGGAAACUUGUGCUAAUACCGGAUACGCUCGCAAGAGGAAAGAUUUAUCGCUGAAAGAUCGGCCCGCGUUGGAUUAGCUAGUUGGUGGGGUAAUGGCCUACCAAGGCGACGAUCCAUAGCUGGUCUGAGAGGAUGAUCAGCCACACUGGGACUGAGACACGGCCCAGACUCCUACGGGAGGCAGCAGUGGGGAAUAUUGGGCAAUGGGCGAAAGCCUGAUCCAGCCAUGCCGCGUGAGUGAUGAAGGCCUUAGGGUUGUAAAGCUCUUUCACCGAUGAAGAUAAUGACGGUAGUCGGAGAAGAAGCCCCGGCUAACUUCGUGCCAGCCGCCGCAGUAA
rnacentral:rRNA from 1 species